rnacentral:sRNA from 1 species
AUGUAUCCACGUAUACGCCGAUUCCUCCGCGCCGCCAGCACCCACCUGACGACUGCCCGCUACGUUUUGUUAGCC